rnacentral:rRNA from 1 species
UACGGAGGGUGCAAGCGUUACUCGGAAUCACUGGGCGUAAAGCGAGCGCAGGCGGCCUGUCAAGUCCUGAGUGAAAUCCACUGGUUCAACCAGUGAACUGCUUGGGAAACUGACAGACUAGAGUGCGGGAGAGGCAGGUGGAAUUUCUGGUGUAGGGGUAAAAUCCGUAGAGAUCACAAGGAAUACUCAUUGCGAAGGCGACCUGCUGGAACGUAACUGACGCUGAGGCUCGAAAGCGUGGGGAGCAAACAGGAUUAGAUACCCUGGUAGUCCACGCCCUAAACGAUGGAUGCUAGUUGCUGUGGUGCUCGUCAUUGCAGUAAUGCAGCUAACGCAUUAAGCAUCCCGCCUGGGGAGUACGGUCGCAAGAUUAAAACUCAAAGGAAUAGACGGGGACCCGCACAAGCGGUGGAGCAUGUGGUUUAAUUCGAAGAUACGCGAAGAGCCUUACCCGGGUUUGACAUGGUAGGAACCCUGCAGAAGUGUGGGGGUGCUAGCUUGCUAGAGCCUACACACAGGUGCUGCACGGCUGUCGUCAGCUCGUGUCGUGAAAUGUUGGGUUAAGUCCCGCAACGAGCGCAACCCUCGUUCUUAGUUGCCAGCGGUUCGGCCGGGAACUCUAAGAAGACUGCCUUCGCAAGGAGGAGGAAGGUGAGGACGACGUCAAG